CCAGCAGCUGCGGUAAUUCCAGCUCCAAUAGCGUAUAUUAAUGUUGUUGCAGUUAAAAAGCUCGUAGUUGGAUUUCUGCGUCGCACGUCCCGGUCCGCCGCUCUGCGGUGCGACUGUUUGGGCGGAGCGUCGCAUCCUUGCGGGGACCAUUUCUGCCAUUAAUUUGGUGGUCUUGGGAACCGCAUCGUUUACUGUGAAAAAAUUAGAGUGUUCAAAGCAGGCUUUAUGCCGUGAAUACAUUAGCAUGGAAUAAUAAGAUAGGACUUUGGUUCUAUUUUGUUGGUUGGAGGCCAAGGUAAUGAUUAAUAGGGAUAGUUGGGGGUAUUCAUAUUUCGUUGUCAGAGGUGAAAUUCUUGGAUUUAUGGAAGAUGAACUUAUGCGAAAGCAUUUACCAAGGAUGUUUUCAUUAAUCAAGAACGAAAGU
rnacentral:rRNA from 1 species